rfam:Micromonas sp. RCC1109 virus MpV1, complete genome.
UCUUCCAUAGCUCAGUUGGUAGAGCGUGCGACUGUUAAUCGCAAGGUCAUCGGUUCGAACCCGGUUGGAAGAG